rnacentral:rRNA from 1 species
UUUCGCAAUGCCCGAAAGGGUGACGAAGCGACGCCGCGUGUGGGAAGAAGGCCUUCGGGUUGUAAACCACUGUCGGGAGUUAGGAAAUGCAGGUGCGUUAAUAGCGCACUUGCUUGACUAAGGCUCCAGAGGAAGCCACGGCUAACUCUGUGCCAGCAGCCGCGGUAAUACAGAGGCGGCAAGCGUUGUUCGGAAUUAUUGGACGUAAAGAGCACGUAGGCGGCCUUGCAAGUCAGCUGUGAAAGCCUUCCGCUUAACGGAAGAACGGCAUCUGAUACUACAGGGCUUGAGUACGGGAGGGGAGAGUGGAACUUCUGGUGGAGCGGUGAAAUGCGUAGAUAUCAGAAGGAACGCCGGCGGCGAAAGCGACUCUCUGGUCCGAAACUGACGCUGAGUGUGCGAAAGCUAGGGGAGCAAACGGGAUUAGAUACCCCGGUAGUCCUAGCCGUAAACGAUGGGCACUAAGUAGAGGGGUUUU